CAAGACGUAGCUACAACCCAAAGCAUUCAGCUUACACCUGAAAGAUAUCUGUCACCUAUCAGAUUGUCUUGA
rnacentral:tRNA from 1 species